GGGACGAACGCUGGCGGCGUGCUUAACACAUGCAAGUCGAACGGUGAAGGAGAGCUUGCUCUCUGGAUCAGUGGCGAACGGGUGAGUAACACGUGAGUAACCUGCCCUUGACUCUGGGAUAAGCGUUGGAAACGACGUCUAAUACCGGAUACGAGCUUCAGUCGCAUGGCUAGGAGCUGGAAAGAAUUUCGGUCAAGGAUGGACUCGCGGCCUAUCAGCUAGUGGUGAGGUAAUGGCUCACCAAGGCGACGACGGGUAGCCGGCCUGAGAGGGUGACCGGCACACUGGGACUGAGACACGGCCCAGACUCCUACGGGAGGCAGCAGGUGGGAAUAUUGCACGAAUGGGCGCAAGCCUGAUGCAGCAACGCCGCGUGGGGGACGAGGCCUUCGGUUGUAAACCGUCGUUUAGUAGGAAGAAGG
rnacentral:rRNA from 1 species